rnacentral:rRNA from 1 species
UACAGAGGUGGCAAGCGUUGUUCGGAAUUACUGGGCGUAAAGGGCGAGUAGGUGGCCAUCUAAGUCAGACGUGAAAUCCCCCGGCUUAACCUGGGAACUGCGUCUGAUACUGGACGGCUUGAGUAUGGGAGAGGAACGUAGAAUUCCAGGUGUAGCGGUGAAAUGCGUAGAUAUCAGGAAGAACACCAAUGGCGAAAGCAGCUUCUGGGACGGUACUGACGCUGAGACGCGAAAGCGUGGGGAGCGAACAGG